UCUACGGGUGGCAGCAGUGGGGAAUAUUGCACAAUGGGGGAAACCCUGAUGCAGCGACGCCGCGUGAGCGAUGAAGUAUUUCGGUAUGUAAAGCUCCAUCAGCAGGGAAGAAGAUGACGGUACCUGACUAAGAAGCCCCGGCUAACUACGUGCCAGCAGCCGCGGUAAUACGUAGGGAGCAGGCGUUAUCCGGAUUUACUGGGUGUUAAGGGAGCGUAGAGGGCGAUGCAAGCCAGAUGUGAAAGCCCGGGGCUCAACCCCGGGACUGCAUUGGGAACUGUGUGGCUGGAGUGUCGGAGAGGCAGGCGGAAUUCCUGGUGUAGCGGUGAAAUGCGUAGAUAUUAGGAGGAACCCCGGUGGCGAAGGCAGCCUGCUGGACGAUGACUGACGUUGAGGCUCGAAAGCGUGGGUAGCAAACAGGAUUAGAUACCCGUGUAGUC
rnacentral:rRNA from 1 species